rnacentral:rRNA from 1 species
UACAGAGGGUGCUAGCGUUGUUCGGAAUCAUUGGGCGGUAAAGGGCGUGUAGGCGGUUUGUUAAGUCAUGUGUGAAAGUCCCUCCGGCUCAACCGGGGAACGACGCAUGAAACUGGCAAGCUAGAGUACCAAAGAGGGGGGUGGAAUUCCCGGUGUAGCGGUGAAAUGCGUAGAUAAUCGGGAGGAACACCUGUGGCGAAGGCGGCCCCCCUGGUUGGAUACUGACCGCUGAGACGCGAAAGCGUGGGGAGCGAACGAGGAAUUGAG